UCGAGGGGCGAGCAUAGUCAAAGCUUGCUUGAUUGAUGGCGACCGGCGCACGGGUGAGUAACGCGUAUCCAACCUUCCCCUUAGUAGGGCGAUAGCCCGGCGAAAGUCGGAUUAAUACCCUAUGUUGUGUCAUGAGGACAUCUGAAUAACACGUAAAGAUUUAUCGCUAAGGGAUGGGGAUGCGUCCGAUUAGCUUGCCGGCGGGGUAACGGCCCACCGGGGCGACGAUCGGUAGGGGUUCUGAGAGGAAGGUCCCCCACACUGGUACUGAGACACGGACCAGACUCCUACGGGAGGCAGCAGUGAGGAAUAUUGGUCAAUGGGCGAGAGCCUGAACCAGCCAAGUAGCGUGCAGGAUGACGGCCCUAUGGGUUGUAAACUGCUUUUAUGCGGGGAUAAAGUGACGUACGUGUACGUUUUUGUAGGUACCGCAUUGAAUAAGGACCGGCUAAUUCCGUGCCAGCCGCGGC
rnacentral:rRNA from 1 species